UGCAUCGGCCGGGAAUCGAACCCGGGCCGCCUAAGUGGGAGGCGAGCAUUCUACCACUGAACCACCGAUGG
rnacentral:tRNA from 1 species